CCUACGGGAGGCAGCAGUGAGGAAUAUUGGUCAAUGGACGAGAGUCUGAACCAGCCAAGUAGCGUGAAGGAUGACUGCCCUAUGGGUUGUAAACUUCUUUUAUAUGGGAAUAAAAUGUUCCACGUGUGGGAUUUUGUAUGUACCAUAUGAAUAAGGAUCGGCUAACUCCGUGCCAGCAGCCGCGGUAAUACGGAGGAUCCGAGCGUUAUCCGGAUUUAUUGGGUUUAAAGGGAGCGUAGGUGGAUUGUUAAGUCAGUUGUGAAAGUUUGCGGAUCAACCGUAAAAUUGCAGUUGAAACUGGCAGUCUUGAGUACAGUAGAGGUGGGCGGAAUGCGUGGUGUAGCGGUGAAAUGCUUAGAUAUCACGAAGAACUCCGAUUGCGAAGGCAGUUCACUGGACUGCAACUGACACUGAGGCUCGAAAGUGUGGGUAUCAAACAGGAUUAGAUACCCCAGUAGUC
rnacentral:rRNA from 1 species